GAUGAACGCUGGCGGCGUGCCUAAUACAUGCAAGUCGAACGAGGUGCUUUUGUAGCAAUACGAAAGUAUCCUAGUGGCGAACGGGUGAGUAACGCGUUGGUGACCUACCCCAAAGUGUGGGAUAACAGUUCGAAAGAACUGCUAAUACCGCAUGUGGUUAUCGGAUUUAGAAACUGAUAACUAAAGGAGCAAUUCGCUUUGGGAGGGACCUGCGUCCCAUCAGCUAGUUGGUGGGUAAAGGCCCACCAAGGCGACGAUCUGUAGCGGGUCUGAGAGGAUGAUCCGCCACACUGGGACUGAGACACGGCCCAGACUCCUACGGGAGGCAGCAGUGGGGAAUUUUGGACAAUGGGCGCAAGCCUGAUCCAGCCAUGCCGCGUGCGGGACGAAGGCC
rnacentral:rRNA from 1 species